AAGAGAUCGGGAUAACACCUGGAAACAGAUGCUAAUACCGGAUAACAACAGAUGAUGCCUAUCAACUGUUUAAAAGAUGGUUCUGCUAUCACUCUUGGAUGGACCUGCGGUGCAUUAGCUAGCUGGUAGGGUAACGGCCUACCAAGGCGAUGAUGCAUAGCCGAGUUGAGAGACUGAUCGGCCACAUUGGGACUGAGACACGGCCCAAACUCCUACGGGAGGCAGCAGAG
rnacentral:rRNA from 1 species